GGGAGCUGCAAGGGAGCUCGAUGCGGAGCAGCUCGCACAGUGACCCUGACGGCUGGAUUUUCCAAGCGGGCACCCAAAACGCCAGCCCUCUGCAGUUUUGCUGGAGUUAAUCAAGCAGCAGCCUCUCCGCCACAUUGUUCCCCACGUACGUCCUGUUCUGAGCUCGCUUGGUCAAUAUUGGCUCCUGUCUUGCGGAGCAGGGUGGUAACUUGUUUUUCUGGUACAGCAAAAUAACCUCUUACCACGUCGGCGGCAGCGCGGCGUGUGUAAGCUCUCAGAGGGCUCCGGACGACCUGCUUUUACACUGUUUCUGAAGAGGAACAAGACACAAUACAGAAGAGUUCUGUAAUGCUUGACUUGCACAGCUCACGGAUGCCCUUUUCCAGCACCUGGAAGUAUGGGAUCUUGGCAUUAGCUGUCCUCUUUCUCCUGGUGGCCCUGACCAUCUUAACUUGCCAGGUGUGUCAGCUCCAGAAAUGCAACAGGACUAGAAAAAAGAAGAGAUGCCACAGCCGAGGCUGGGUUAGGAUGAAGGCAGUGAACGGCAUCUGGGGGAAGAAAAUGCCACCUCUCCUGCAUGACGCCGCUGAGCAGAGCAAUGCAGAUAUCAAGGCAAGUACGCUGAUGCUAG